rnacentral:misc_RNA from 1 species
UCACUUCUUUAACUGCUUGCGAGGAUGAUAAUGUAUCCAAGAUGUGUAAUCUGUUUUUGAUAUCAAAAUAUCAAGAUCAUUCCAAACUUGGAGCCACCUCAGUUGGAUUAGAUUCAAACACAUCUGGGUUUGAUGCCUCGGGUUCUUCUAAUAUCUCUCGAGUUUGAACUGAUUCUUUAUAUGCAGGUGUGUCCUUGAAAUCAGUUGCUCCUUCGUUAUAUGUAGUGACAGCAAUCCCACAUGCAAUAAGAGCGAAAACGAUGCCAAAAGCCCAUAAAUACUCCAGGAAGAAGCCGAGAGCAUCCCACUUCGG